rnacentral:rRNA from 1 species
AUUGAACGCUAGCGGCAUGCUUAACACAUGCAAGUCGAACGGUAACAGGACUAGCUUGCUAGUUGCUGACGAGUGGCGGACGGGUGAGUAAUACGUAGGAAUCUACCUUGUAGUGGGGGAUAACUCGGGGAAACUCGGGCUAAUACCGCAUAAUCUCUACGGAGCAAAGCGGGGGACUUUCGAGCCUCGUGCUAUAAGAUGAGCUUACGGCCUAUCAGCNGUUGGUGGGUAAUGGCCUACCAAGGCAACGACGGGUAGCUGGUCUGAGAGGACGGCCAGCCACACUGGGACUGAGACACGGCCCAGACUCCUACGGGAGGCAGCAGUGGAGAAUAUUGGACAAUGGGCGAAAGCCUGAUCCAGCAAUGCCGCGUGUGU